GGCCGAGUAGCCAAGCAGCAAGGCAGCGCUCUGCAAAAGCGCUAUACGUGGGUGCAAUUCCCGCCUCGGCCUCAA
rnacentral:tRNA from 1 species